rnacentral:rRNA from 1 species
UACGAAGGGGGCUAGCGUUGCUCGGAAUCACUGGGCGUAAAGCGCACGUAGGCGGAUUGCUAAGUCAGGGGUGAAAUCCUGGAGCUCAACUCCAGAACUGCCUUUGAUACUGGCGAUCUUGAGUCCGGGAGAGGUGAGUGGAACUGCGAGUGUAGAGGUGAAAUUCGUAGAUAUUAGGAAGAACACCAGUGGCGAGGCGGCUCACUGGUCCGGUACUGACGCUGAGGUGCGAAAGCGUGGGGAGCAAACAGG